rnacentral:rRNA from 1 species
UACGUAGGGUGCAGGCGUUAAUCGGAAUUACUGGGCGUAAAGCGUGCGCAGGCGGUUGUGCAAGACCGAUGUGAAAUCCCCGGGCUUAACCUGGGAAUGGCAUUGGUGACUGCACGGCUAGAGUGUGUCAGAGGGGGGUAGAAUUCCACGUGUAGCAGUGAAAUGCGUAGAGAUGUGGAGGAAUACCGAUGGCGAAGGCAGCCCCCUGGGAUAACACUGACGCUCAUGCACGAAAGCGUGGGUAGCAAACAGG